CAGUAAAGUACAAGCAGCCCGCAGCGAGCGGAGCCAAAAUAAAAAGCCAAAUACCUCUAAAACGGUGAGGGGUUUUAACAGGCACAAAGGCACGCACGGCCGGGUGCAGCAGCAAUGCCAGGAUUUAUAGAACGCUGGGCCAGUAAACGGGACUCGGAAGCAUCAGCGGAGCCUUCCGGAACGGGUGUUUUUACAAACUGUAACUAUUGGAAACAAAUGCUGUGUUAAAGAGGUUGAAAAGAAACAUGAUCCACAGAGUCUCCACCCCCCAACACAGCUGGUUUCACUUCCUGGGGGAGACUUUACUCACGCCACCCCCACUUCCUGUUGAUCAGUCAGGAGAGAGGCUGUAAAUCUUCGAUGAGGACAUCAUUGAUGUUUGGGAUGUGGUUUUCUGUUUGGCUUUUGAUGGAGGUAACUUCAGCAAUACGGAUUGAAUCAAGCCCCUUACUGUAAUAGGCUUUUUGACAAAUCAGGAUAAAAUGGUCUGGUGGGUCCUGUGGCGAUGGUUAUUACCAUCAGGCAUUUUUACAGCCUUCUAAGCCUCACAUAUUUCAGCCUGUACGCCAGACUUCCUAAAGGAUCUCCUUCACUGUCACAUGUGUCUGGGUCUAGUAAAAUAAGCACUCAGCUCGUAAACCGGCCAAUGAGCAGACCCCAAAUAGCCACUUCUGCCAGCCUGACUGACAGAAGCCCUAAAGAGACGUGUUCGAAGAUGGAGGGAAGCUAGUCACAUGGAGAUUGAGGAGGCAGUCAAUCAAAGAGAAUGGCUACAUCUACCAGAAACAUUGACUGCAAUGUGCUUCUGUUGUCUUCUUGUCCUCCUCUGAGGAAACAACAGCUUUUUUUUUUGUCAGCCUCAUGUUGAAGUUGCUUUCUCUGACUAUAUUUCUAAAAGGCACAACAAACCUGCUGCGUUCUCUGUCUACCUACUUUCCUACUUUAGUACCCCAUCUCCCAGCGUGUGUGUGUGUUUGUGUGUGUGUGUGUGUGUGUGUGCGCACACCCUGUCUCCUGCGGUCUGCGUGCUGUAACGCUGUUCUGGUCUCCAGUAAAUCCAAACCACUACCAGGUGUACACACAGAGCCUAGGCUGAGCUGAGCAUACGGCCACAGCUGCUCUGUCUGUGUGUAGUUCUGUGUUUGUGUAUGCAUGUGUGAGUAGAAUGAAGUUGUCAUUAGCCGCUGAUCUAAAGUCAGAUUUUUACAUUUUUCACCCCGAUGCUAAAAAAACGUAAGCUGAUCCUAGAUCUGUACUUAAGGGGCAACCCGUAGUGAUUUAUAGAGCUGCCACCGCAUCAUAGACAUUCUUGUGUAGAGCCGUGCCCCGGUACAGCAGACCAGAGCUCUGUGUGCCAAACGACGCUAUGUUCCCAGCUUCCUCUAUUCCCACGCUUUCCUCUGUUCUGCCAACUGGGAACAUACCUCCCCGUUCACAUCAUUAUGAGAAUAAUAGUCCAACUCUCUCUCUCUCUCUCUCUCUCUCUCUCAUGAUUUCUUGAUGUGCAGUAGGCCUACUUAAUGUAAAACGUGUGGUGUACUGUUACUAUAUGUUAGUUAAAGAAAGUAUACUCUCGUUA